rnacentral:lncRNA from 1 species
CUGUGAAAGAUAGGAUCAGUAAAUGGAAAUUCACUGAGAUUUAAUCUUUGUGAGAUCUUCAAUAGUGGUACCGAGGGUGUCUUUAGAGUGUACCGAAUCAGUAUAGCUAUCCUUCUUUUGACCCAGUAACGCAAUUUUAAUCAGUAUAGAAAAGAAGUGAUACAAUAUUUCUUUCUUUUUUUUUUUUGCUUGUUAUGUUAAUGCAGAACCAUGUGCCAUUCAAUAGGAAAAUGCCUCUCCUGUAGUAUACGGUUUCUUUCCAUUACUGGCUUCAAACUAGAAACUGAAGAUUUGGUAAAGUGUGAGUCCGACGAGUUGGGUUCUAAUAAUUCAUGAAAGAGAUUUUCA